CCCCCGAGUCCCCAGCCCCCACCACCCCGGCGCCGGCCCUCUCACCCUUUCAUUCUCUGCCCGAGGCCUGGCGCGGGCCGGCGAAUCCCCGGCCUCACAUCAGAGUGAGAGGCGCUGGCAAUGGACUAGGAAGCUCGGCUGCCGCUGCUACUGCUCCCCCCUGGGCUCCAGCGAGAGCCUUUCCCUGUCAAGCAAGAGGGCCAAGAAGGCAGGGCUGCCGGGGCUGCACAAGAAGAGGCAGCAGCCUCCUACAGCACCACUACAGGCACUGCGAGGACAUAACACCAGAGAGCCGCUCCUCUGCCCUCCGAAACGACAACUUUCCUACCAUCUUGGAGGCAGAGCAAAGGGGGGCCAGGGGGAAAAGUGCACCCGCUCCCGAUAAAGUACAAAUUUAUGCUUCUCAUCUCUGGAAAAAAGUCCACACCGGCCGUCUCCACCGGCGCCUGGGGGAGAAAGCGGGGAAGAAACUGGGGGUGCCUCAGAAACGUUUGCGUUUACUCCAGGGGGGAAAAUGUUUCUGCAUCUUCUGAUGGAAAGAAAUCUUUACAAGACACAGGUUUUCCGAUUUAAGUUCUGGGUUUGAUGGUCAUUUUAUAAAUUUGAACUUCAAGAUACUUCCUAGCCACUUUAUUUGUCUGCUUAUUUAUACGUUUUUGUGUAUAGAGAUAUUUCUUUCCUUAUAUAUAUAAAUUUAUGCUAUAUAUUCCCUUCCAAACUGAGAUUGCUGGACGACAAUUUUAAAGGGAUGUCUUUUGUCUCCUUUUCCCAAAGCAAUGUAAAUAAAACCUAUUGACUGUCCA
rnacentral:lncRNA from 1 species